AAAGGCAGACUAAAUGUAUAUGAAGAACAAUAAAGAGAAAGAAACCAUACAAUACAAAUUGAAACCAUUUGAGAUAAAUAAUAAUACCAGCUACAAUUUUACACAAAGCCUUACUAACUAGUUCGAAUCCUUCAAACAAAAAACAAAAAAUCGGAAGAAACAAACUAAGAAGCAAAAAAGACUACAUUUUUCACAUAAACACAUGUAAAUCAAAAAUCAGGUCUAACCCAUUAAAUACAUGAAAGUCAAAAAUGAACCUGGAAUUUCAUUAACUUAAUGAAACUCUAGUAGUUACACGGGCUAAUCGAAUAGACAAUUGCGAUCAGGUCUCGACACGACGAUUCUCAAACCAACGGGCUCGAAUAACAAAUUGUUUCCCAAAUUUGAAUUUGACCGCGCAACUUCAACAAAGAUGGGGAUGUGAACAAGAUGAAGAAUAAAGGGUCGUUAUGGGGACGAAGCAGAAGAAUGAUGAAGUAGCAGCAUUGGUCGUUUAUGGUUGCUGCUGGACGAUGUGAUGUACGGCUGACUGGAGUGGAUCACGGGCUCGUUGUGACGUUGAAGCAGAAGCUGGUGACGGGAAAAAGCUGGUCGUGGGGGAGCAGCGAUGGGUCUAUCUGGAGAUGGUUGUUUGGCAGUGGGGUCGUCUCGGGUGGUUUCAUGGGUGUUCAUGGCGAUGGGGACUGGUGGAGGUGAUUUGGAGAAGAAGAAGAGAAGGGAGGGUGUGUUAGAAAGUUAAAGUUAGGUUUUUAGGUUUUUUU
rnacentral:lncRNA from 1 species